rnacentral:rRNA from 1 species
UACGUAGGGUGCGAGCGUUAAUCGGAAUUACUGGGCGUAAAGCGUGCGCAGGCGGUAAUGUAAGACAGAUGUGAAAUCCCCGGGCUCAACCUGGGACCUGCAUUUGUGACUGCAUUGCUGGAGUGCGGCAGGGAGGGGAUCGGAUCCGCGUGUAGCAGAUGAAUGCGUAGAUAUGCGGAGGAACACCGAUGGCGAAGGCAAUCCC